rnacentral:rRNA from 1 species
GACGAACCGUGCGAACGUUGUUCGGAUUCACUGGGCUUAAAGGGCGCGUAGGCGGCUUGCCAAGUCAGGGGUGAAAUCUUUCGGCUCAACCGGAAACGUGCCCCUGAUACUGGCGGGCUUGAGUGCGGCAGAGGGGGGUGGAAUUCCGCGUGUAGCAGUGAAAUGCGUAGAGAUGCGGAGGAACACCGAUGGCGAAGGCAGCCCCCUGGGUCGACACUGACGCUCAGGCACGAAAGCGUGGGGAGCAAACAGG